rnacentral:rRNA from 1 species
UACGUAGGUGGCUAGCGUUGUCCGGAUUUACUGGGCGUAAAGAGCGCGCAGGCGGUCGUUCAAGUCGAGUGUGAAAGCCCCCGGCUCAACUGGGGAGGGUCACUCGAUACUGAUCGACUCGAAGGCAGGAGAGGGAAGCGGAAUUCCCGGUGUAGUGGUGAAAUGCGUAGAUAUCGGGAGGAACACCAGUGGCGAAGGCGGCUUUCUGGCCCGGUACUGACGCUGAGGUGCGAAAGCGUGGGGAGCAAACAGG